GGUCUGAGCAGGACAUCUUUAAAGUCCAGCUUGAUAUCCGCGUCUACCCGGGGCAUCUCGCUGGGGUGGCGGGGUGCGGGGGCCGGGACUCUCCUGGCGGCAGAGGCGGCGGCGGCAGUGGCGGCCCCGCUGCGCUGGCUGCGCUCCGCUGCACCGCGCCCCUGCAGAGCCGCGCCGAGCUGAGCCGCGCCGGCCAAAGCCCGCGGGCCCCGCACCGAGCGUAUUUAUAGGGCGCGGACACCGGGCCCCAUCGCUUUAUUAGGAGAGGGCUGUUUUUAGCCGGGCAGCCGGCCGGCCCCUGCCCCUUCUCCGGCCGCAGCCCCCCCGCCUCUCUGCCGGGCUGUGUGCGGUGGGGGGGGCAGACGGGGACGCGGUGCCCGCCCGCAGCCGCCCCGUGCGGGGCGAGGCACCGGCGGCACCGCGGCGGCCUUAAGGGCAAAGCAAGGGCAGAGGAAGUGGCGCCUCCAUGUGACCGAGCGGGCGGCUUGUGCCGGGUGUGGGAGGCCGGCGGUGCUGAUGCCGGUGCGGGGCUGAUCGGACAUCUUGGCCGCCCCCCACUCCCACCGCCCCUGGCGUGGGCUGGCGGCGCUCCUCGGCGUUGUCACGGCUGCUGCAGCAAGGCCCAAAAUGUUCUGCCUCCAGGCAUAUAAAAAGGCAGCACUUACUCUUCCUUGUCUCUGGUGGGAAUCCGACUUCCCGGGGUGCUUUGCUCUGAGCCCGAACCUGGCCCCCUGCCUACCCAUGGUAAAAUUGAGGCAGAGCUCAGCUUCUGGGGUCUCCAGCUGGCUCCCCAUCGGACUGCAGAGCAGAGCAAGAGCCGCAGCGUGGUUUUGGCCUUAGAAACGUUGAGAAAUGUGCAACUGGUUGGUCAUAGAAGAGUGGUCACAGCACCAGCCACCUGCAGCUGCCUCUCCACGUUAAUUUCCUAUUUAGUGCAUUCAGAGAAGCAACAUGGGGCUUUGCUUUUUUGCGCCCUUCCCCCCCACCCCCCACCCCCCCAGCAUGCAGGAGCCCCGAUCUGUGACUUUAUUUGCUUCUUUUUCAGUGGUUAGCCACGGUUCAGUAUGCAGUCACAAACCCCUAAUAGCAACAGGACUGCACGUGCUGAGUCCAUCUGUAAAUGCUGGCACAUGGAUCAAUAUAGGUUACCAGAUAACACAAGAUGACUUCCACAGGAGCUUUGAGCCUUGAAGUCUACUUAAUUAUGAAUGCCCCCAUAUUAUGUCUUCGUGCAAUGGGAGGAAAAGCUGUUCAGACAGGCGAUUUGCCACAGGAUUUCCAGGCCCCUGAGACCCAUCAGAAAGUGAAGAGCAGCAAAGACUUACCCUGAGUAAAGCAGGAUCAAGUUGGGAGAGGGGAAAUUCCUGAGAACUCGGAAAAGCAAUUACCAGUCCUAUCUUUGAGAAGAGCAAGAAGGAGGGAGGAUCUGGGCCUGUCAGUUUCACUUCAAUGCCUGGGAAGGUCAUGGAGCAAAUAAUCCUGUAAAGCAUUUCCAAAUGGAUGAAGGACAAGAAGGUGACUGAAAGUAGUUGUCAUGAGUUUAUGAAGAUAAAAUCAGCUCACCUGAUUACCUCCUAAGAUGGAAUAACUAAGAUGAGAAGAGAGUAAUGCAUGUUGUUUAUUUUGACUUUGGCAAGGCUUUUGACAGAGUCUGAAUAACAUUUUUGUAGGCAAACUGAUGAAGUUUCGUGGACUAGCUAAAAGGACAAUGAAAUGGACUGAAAACUGACUGAACUUCUGGGCUCAAAGGGUUGUGAUAAGUGACACCAAGUCCAGCUGGAGGCCAGCUAUUUGUGGUGUACCAGGUUAAUUGUAUAUGGCAUUAAAAAUACCUCUUAUCAA